rnacentral:rRNA from 1 species
AAACCAACAGGGAUUGCCUCAGUAAUGGCGAGUGAAGCGGCAAGAGCUCAAAUUUGAAAUCUGGUACUUUCAGUGCCCGAGUUGUAAUUUGAAGAUUGUACUCUGGAGUUGGCCCUUAUCUAUGUUCCUUGGAACAGGACGUCAUAGAGGGUGAGAAUCCCGUGCGAUGGGGAGCCCGAUUCCAUGUAGAGUGCUCUCGAAGAGUCGAGUUGUUUGGGAAUGCAGCUCUAAGUGGGUGGUAAAUUCCAUCUAAAGCUAAAUAUUGGCGAGAGACCGAUAGCGAACAAGUACAGUGAUGGAAAGAUGAAAAGAACUUUGAAAAGAGAGUGAAAAAGUACGUGAAAUUGUUGAAAGGGAGGUUAUUAGAUCAGACUUGGUGUUUGGCGAUAUUCAGUCUCUCGUAGACUGUUCACUCGCCCUUCACUGGGUCAGCAUCGGUUGGUGCGGGAUAUGGCUGUUGAACGUGGCUUCUCCGGAAGUGUUAUAGCUUC